rnacentral:rRNA from 1 species
AUUGAACGCUGGCGGCAGGCCUAACACAUGCAAGUCGAGCGGAGCGGCGGACGGGUGAGUAAUGCCUAGGAAUCUGCCUGGUAGUGGGGGAUAACGUCAGGACACGGGCGCUAAUACCGCAUAAUAUCAGAUGAGCCUAGGUCGGAUUACCUAGCUGGUGGGGUAAAGGCCUACCAAGGCGACGAUCCGUCACUGGGCUGAGAGGAUGAUCAGUCACAGUGGAACUGAGACACGGUCCAGAAUCCGACGGGAGGCAGCAGGGGGGAAUAUUGGACAAUGGGCGAAAGCCGGAUGCAGCCAGGCCGCGUGUGUGAAGAAGGUCUUCGGAUUGUAAAGCACUUGAAGUUGGGAGGCGUUACCAACAGAAUAAGCACCGGCUAACUUCGUGCCAGCAGCCGCGGUAAUUC